AAGUACAUAUUUCGUUUUUGUGCUAAUUUUUAUUUCAGAAAAUGUUUUUGAAAAAGAUUAGAAAUAGUUUUUUAGUCUGUGAUCAAUACAAAAUUAUGCAAAGAAUUGUAUGCUGGUUCCUUUUCAUGGUCUACAAAAAUGCUUAUGUAUCCUCCAAUGCAAAAAACUCCUUCUGAACCUGCGGUCUCUUCAGCCUCCUUCACUGCCAGACUUCCUGUAGAAAUCCACCUCCAUUGCCCCGCAUCCUCUCUGCUCGCUGCUCAGUGUCUUGCAGUCUGCUGUUACACAGCGCUAGAGCAAAACUGUUCUCAGUGGGCUUCCAGUUACUGAACUGAGUGAUUUUUUUCUCAGUCUGCACCCCUUAUCCUUCUGUCUCUGCAACACGUACACCAUUGAGCAGUCUCAAUCUUUUAUGCUGUUUCCUGGACAGUGUCUCCUCCCUUGAAGAUGUUGUCCUCUGCCAUAACUGUGAGUACAGUCACAUGACUCUUAUUUAAAAUAUGUCUACUAGAAUGUGUUCUCUCAGAUUUCCUUCUUCAGAAUGCUUCUGGAGGUAUCUCAUUCUUAGGGUUUCUAUUUUAUCCCAAUGUUCUGUGUUAUGUAUCUGGUCCAAAAUUCUAAACCUGUACUUUGAACUACCUGCUGCUUGACAUUUCAACCUAGAUGAAGUUAUUCAUCAUAGUUUUCACCUUUCUCUUGUGGCAAUUUUGGUUAAAGGUGCAGCCUUUUUUUCUAGUCAGACAUGCCAGAAAAUCUGGCAGCAAGAUUCAACUGCUCCCUCUUGUCUUAUGCUGCCACUGCUUCUGAGAACAUCCAGAAAGUUCUGUAUUAUCUGAUAAUUCUCUCAGUCUUUUAGGGCUUAAUUUCUAUGAGUGAACCUUCAUGAUUCUUUGUUUCGGUCUUCAUGAUGGUGCUAAGUAACCACAUGCUACAAUUGUUUAUGUCUGUACCUGCUACAUUGUAAGCUCUUUCAAGGGAAGGAGUCUCCUGGGACUUUUGUUCCCAGUCCUUUGCUCAUGCAUAGUAGUUGUUCACUUCCCGUGUAUGUGAAUGGUCUAUUGUAGCAUCAGUAAUAAUCCCUCUUAUAUUGUAGUCUGAAGUGUGUUUCUAACAUAUUUCCUAAAGUUAGGAGUGAAUUAAAUUAUAAAUGAAUCUACUCAUAAGGAAAUCAUUUGGUAUUUUGGAUACUUAAAUAUUACCUAAUUUAGAUAUUUAGUUAUACUCAAUAUCUAUUUCUUCUACUGAAUUUCAGAGUAGUUAGAAUGCUUCUAUUAAGACUUUGCUAGAAACUAACUAGAUUAUAAGGAAUGAGAUUCAAUUCUACCAUCAAUUCACCUACUUAUUGUCAAAUGAGUUAAUUUUUAUAUGCCUUAAGCUAUCCUGCCUACAGCAAGAGUAAAAUAAGAUAGUAUCUGGAAAUGUUAUUUGUAAUUUGAGUAUUUCAGAUGACGCUGAAUAUGCUUUUAACUUAAUAAAUAUUGUUGCUCUUUAUUUGUAAAUUUGCUGCUACUUUCUAUGUGUAUAUCUGUAUACACACAUACAGUUGUGAGUGAAAACCCAACAACGCUCUAAUGUGAUUUUUUUUCAUAGGGUUGUAGUUCGCUUAGAAUACAUGUUAAGGAAGUGACUGCAGUCUGUUUGCAAGCCACAAACUGUUUGUACAUCAUAAAUUAACAUUGGCCUGCAAAUGUAACGGAGAAAGAACCAUCAUUUCCAAUUGGUGUAUGCCACAACUUUCCACAUUACUUUAGCCCAUCUCAGGGAAUUAUUGAAGUGUUAAUUGGGCUAGUUUCAUUUUGUUCUGUUGGUUUGGAGGAUUUACUUUUUUCUUUUGCCUUCUUAUUGUGUAUUUGCUCCUGUGUAAGCUCAAUGUUUGAUGGCAGUUUGAGCAUCUGUUCUUCACAUAUGUCUAACCCGGCAGAGUUAUGAUGCAAGGAUGAUAACUUCAUUUCAGAUACAAUUGGCUUUAUUCCAAGUCUUCAUUGUUGGUGACCUUAUUCUAAUAGGAUGACUCAUUGGUGGUGAUGAUGAAACUGCUCAGCCUGCCAGCUGGGAUGUUAAUGGCAGGUCUAGGCUUCAUUGCUGUGUAGAAGGUUGGAUAUUUCUCUUACUUUGUAGGCGUUUAAAUUGGCCAGUGUUCCAAAGUGUUGCCUCGUAUUAACAUGUUUGUUGUUUGUUUCGUGACCCCAUCAGUUGACAUAUGGUGUGGUAUUUAGUUUACUAUUAUUAGUUUUAGUCACAUACUCCUUGAUAUGAACGUGACAGUUUUCUGGCAGUGCUGAGCAAACCAUGCUCUCUGAUCUAAACCCAUUGUAACCGGUGGCAUGAUUGUGAGAUUAGCUGACCCUGUAUCACUGUACAGUCUACAUUUGGAGAAAGAAUUCAGCAUUCUCUACUACAUUGUAAGUUCCUUGCCAGAGACAUUGGAUAUUACUGUGUAUUUUUCCCAUCCUCAUAGAACCAUAGUAAAGUACUAUGGCUACUAAAAACUAAACAUCCCCUGGUUGCUAAAGUCCUCCACAUCUUGAGCCUGUUGGAAAUGGUACAGGAAACUAAGAUCAGUAUCAUCAGUGACAAGAGUUGUGUCAUUGGGGUGUCUUUCCUUAAACCUGCAAAGGGAAUAUUUUCUAGGGUUAAAAAGAUGGGCUGGAACAUAGCUGGACAGUUUCCUAAUUGGCAAACUUACCAUUGUUGACUUUCAGUUCUCAAAAUAAAAAGCUUGUGUUGGGAGUAGAAAAUACUCUUCUGAUAUGUAGAGCAAUAAAUACCUUGAUGAAGCAAAAUGAAGAUUUAACAUCUGCCAUUAUCUGACUUCAGUGUAUGCUAUGAAAAGUCUAGGUUAGAAUCAUAAAUAAUGGCAAGAAUAGUAGAGAAAAGAUCAUAAAAAGCCAAUAUAAGAAUUGUAGUGAAUAUAAUGGAAAGAGUUUGGAGUUUGAAUAUCUGACUUCAAAACCUGGCUUUGCCAUCUACUGGCUGGUAAAAAUCACUUAUCUUCUCUGGGUUUGUAAAACAGAGAAAUCAUAUCAACUUUUAAGAAUGAAAUACAAUCCUGUUAAAAAAAAGUGUUGAAAAUUAAAAUGUUAUCCAGAGUGGAAGGUAUUAUUACUAUAGUUAUCCUUUCAGAAUAGAGAACAGAGCAUUCUUUAAUCCUACUCGUGUCUCAGAGGAUACGCAUGGGGUCUGGGGGAUAUGGCACAUUGUUUAUGCUCACCACCCUAAGCUCCAUCCCCUUCAUUCAGAAUUACGGACUGAAAAUACUGAGGGUGGAGAAGGUGAGCUCAUCAGUAAAUAAGACUUUUAAAUCUGAUAAAUGAACUGUUAUGGUAGGACGAUAGGCCAGCAAGAUGGAAGACAAGUGAGGAGCAUCAUCUGCUUCAGGGUUGACAAGGCAUGACACAAUUCCAUUAGUAAGUAAGAAAGAAGGUAAAAGAAAGUCAUACUCAGGUCUUAGUGAGUCAGCACCAACCUGUAGCAACAAGAGCACAAGUCUGUUAAGAUAUUUAUAAAGUGUCCUAGGAAUGAGGUAAAAGACAUGACUUGUGACUCUGCUUAGUGCUGUUGGGAAGAAAGCAGUCUUCGUAAGCUUGGACAGUGACAGUAACAGAAAAGACUGGUCCUGUAAUACGGAGUGAUGGAACUAAAGAUGCUCCAUGAAGUAGCAUAAAUUCAGGGGAAUGUUUAAGACUGAAAAAGGUUAUGGAUAUGACACCGAAUAGCAUGACUAAUAUUUUAAAGCAAACUUGGACAACGCUAGUCUGUGUGCUUCAAGAAAAAGCAGAGCCAAUGCUAGAACAUGAAGAACUUAGAGAUCAAAGGAAAGCCAGGACCAAGAUUAAGUAUUUUGAAAGCAGUGAGCACGUUUUUACAAGAAUCAAGAUUAUUUUUGUUUAAGAACUUGUGUGCAGCAAUACAUAUAAUACCUAUACAUAAUAAUAGAAGAUUUCUUAGCAAAUAACUAAAAAUAGUUGCCAACUGCUACAUAUUAAGAGCAGUGGUGUUACAGAUUUUAAGUCAGGCAUGUGGAAAACUAUUUCUGACAAAAGGCUAUUGAAGUCUGAAGCCAUUCUUAGUGAAUCUCAAGGAGUCAUCUUAGUAUUUCCAAGUCAAAUGCCAUCUCUUUAGGGUGUCCCUAGAUGCAUCCCUCAGAGAAAGACAGGAGGAGGAUUCAGAUGUCCUUCCCUUCAGACCGCAGGAGCCCAUUUGCUAUAAUCAAGCCUCACAUUGUGUUUUGGUCCUAAGCAUCUCUAUUAGAGUUUCCCUGGUUCUUUUUCAGUUUAGAAGUCAAAGUAAAAACAAUUUCUAUGCUUAGUUUCCCUCUUAAAAAUGUUUCUUCAUCUUACUUCUUACAUUAGGCUACACAGCCAACAAAUUUGCUCAGAAUACACCAGCAGUAUAUGCAUUGUGUUUUUUUUUAAGGCAUGAGAGGAUUGUAAAGUCACUUUGACAAUUUUGAGCUAGAAUAGAUUGGAGAACUGGUUGCUCACCUCACACUCAGGAAUCUCCUUUCACACGUUCUUAAAAUAAUUUGGUGUUUAUGUUGCUAUGAGAUCGGCAAUGAAGUUCUCAGCGGCAUUAUUUGGUAAGCAUUACACGCUGGAUUCUUUCCCCCAAUAAUUUUUAGUAAAAAUUUUCAAACAUAAAAAUAUAAAGUUUUACAAUGUACUCACCACCCAGAUGCUACCAUUAACUAUGCUUUUGUUAUCACAUGUCCAUCAAUUCAUUGAUGCAGAUUAGUUUUUGGUACAUUUUAAAUUAUAGACAUCGAUACACUUCCUGCCAAAUACUUCAGCAUAAACUAGAGUUCAACGUUUGCUUACAUUUUUCCUUUUAUGUAAAAUUAGCAUACAGUGAAAUGCAUAGGGCUUAAGUAUGCAUCCCCUGAGUUUUGGCAAAUGUGUAAGGUGCUAUCAAAACAUAAAACGUUAUCAGAAAAUUUCCACAUGGCCCUUUCCAGUCCAUCCUUGUCUUCACACCAUCCCCUAAAAGCAACCACUAUUUUUUUCCUACUAUAAAUCAGAUUUGUCUGUUCUAGAUUUUUGUGUAAAUAGUCACACAGCAUGUCCUCUUUCUAGAAGCCUUCCCUUACCAUGUUUUGGAGAUUUAUCCGUGUUGUUGGGUGUAGUAGUAGUUCACUCCUUUUUAUUCCUGAGUAGUAUUCCAUCGUAUGAUGACUUUGUAAUUUAUCUGUUUUCCUAUUUGUGAAUACAUGAGCUGUUUCCAGUAUUGGCAAUUAUAAAUAAAGCUGCCUUGAUUAUUCUUAACAUAAGUCUUAUGUGAACAUAGCCUUUCAUUUCUCUUGGGUGAAUACCUAGGAUUAGAAUUUCUGUGUCAUAGGGUAGUUUUAAAAGAAACUGAAGUACCUUUUUCCAAUGUGGUUGUACUGUGUCUUGGAUUUUCACUAUACUUUGGAUGUGUAGAAAGCUGUGAACUAUUUUUGUGAUCCAUAUUUGAAAUAUUAGAAGUGGGUCUGGGAUAGAAAUGGCAUUGUUCACAGUAGGCAGUUGGUGUUAUUUGAGGGAGGCAAAUACCUGUCUGCCCAAAACAGCUCCCAGAGGGGUUCCUAUGUCUGAAAUUUUUGCAUUAUUUUCACUCCUUGAAAGAUGAAAGCACUUACCCAAGGCUGGUGAUAGAUUAGCUAGAAGAAACGGCACUGGUUUGUCUAUGUUACUAACUUUUGCCACCCGUUUUCAGCAGGUAAAAUAAGAAUGAUAAUUAAACAUUAAAGACUUUCUUCAAUGGGGGUAGGAGGGAUAGUAAGAAACAUACCACUAGUUAGUCCCAGGUACAGCAGUGUGAGAGAGGACCGUCUGGACAGGAAAGUCCCCCAAAUGGUGGUCAAGAAACCAGAAAACGGGGUGGGAAGAAUUCUACCUCACAGUUGUGCAUAGGAGAUAGCUAUGUUUUUGCAGGAUGUUUUUGCCUUUAAAAAUCAUAUUUUCAAUGUUGUCUCUUUAUCCAGUACCACCCAGCUACAGUUAUUUCACACCCUAGUGACUUUCUUAACCACUGUGUUUUACCUUUCCUGCCUGUUCUGUUACAUGUAGCAGUUACUGUAUUAGCCUGUAAAAUUAUAAUCGUGUAUGUUUCCAAUGCUCGUGUUCAAAAGUAUUUAUGUAUGGUUCAUCCAAUCUUUCCUAUUCGAUUUCUAAGGGCUGGGAUAUUUGGCUUCUACUGUAAAUCCUUAUAAUGUUCCACACAUUGUAAAUGCAAUAAAAAUGUUAAAAACUAUAAUUAAUGGCAGCAGAUUUUGA
ensembl:lncRNA